rnacentral:rRNA from 1 species
GACGAACGCUGGCGGCGUGCUUAACACAUGCAAGUCGAACGGAAAGGCCCUGCUUUUGUGGGGUGCUCGAGUGGCGAACGGGUGAGUAACACGUGAGUAACCUGCCCUUGACUUUGGGAUAACUUCAGGAAACUGGGGCUAAUACCGGAUAGGAGCUCCUGCUGCACGGUGGGGGUUGGAAAGUUUCGGCGGUUGGGGAUGGACUCGCGGCUUAUCAGCUUGUUGGUGGGGUAGUGGCUUACCAAGGCUUUGACGGGUAGCCGGCCUGAGAGGGUGACCGGCCACAUUGGGACUGAGAUACGGCCCAGACUCCUACGGGAGGCAGCAGUGGGGAAUAUUGCACAAUGGGCGGAAGCCUGAUGCAGCAACGCCGCGUGCGUGAUGACGGCCUUCGAGUUGUAAACCGCUUUCGCCUGUGACGAAGCGUGAGUGACGGUAAUGGGUAAAGAAGCACCGGCUAACUACGUG